GGCGGCCAUCUCUGUCGGCGCCGGAAGUAGUUCACAAAGAAGACCAGCAAGGGGCCCCUCAUCCAGCCAGAAACCUGCACCUGUCAGCAGCAACAGCAAGGGGCCCCUCAUCCAGCCAGAAACCUGCACCUGUCAGCAGCAACAGCUUUCACAAGCUCAUCAUUUGUACAAAUACAGAAGUAUCUUUGAUGAGGGGUCAGGGGCCGAUCUACGCUGCUAUACCCAUCAAUAGGGCUCUGGCAAAGACCUCACCUCCAGCCUCACCUCGAGGCCGGUCGUCGAUGGGGAGAACAAAAUGUAGAUGCAUGAGAUGCGGAGAGACCUGGCGCUCAACACACCUACUCAACACACCCACUCAACACAUCCACAAUGAGAAACAUGUAUGGAGCCAGCACCUGGAGACUUGCAAGAUGAUGUGAUGAAGUCCAGACUGACAGAUGGUCUCGAUACUGGUGUCUCUGAAUGGAGAGUUACCUAUCACUCUGCAUAUA